rnacentral:rRNA from 1 species
CCUACGGGGUGCAGCAGUGGGGCAUAUUGCACAAUGGGCGGAACCCUGAUGCAGCGACGCCGCGUGGGUGAAGAAGCGCCUCGGCGCGUAAAGCUCUGUCAGCAGGGAAGAAAAUGACGGUACCUGAAGUAGAAGCCCCGGCUAACUACGUGCCAGCAGCCGCGGUAAUACGUAGGGGGCAAGCGUUAUCCGGAUUUACUGGGCGUAAAGGGGGCGCAGGCGGCGGUGCAAGCCAGGAGUGAAAGCCCGGGGCUCAACCCCGGGACUGCUGUUGAAACUGCGUGGCUGGAGUGCAGGAGAGGCAGGCGGAAUUCCUGGUGUAGCGGUGAAAUGCGUAGAUAUCAGGAGGAACACCGGUGGCGAAGGCGGCCUGCUGGACUGCAACUGACGUUGAGGCCCGAAAGCGUGGGGAGCAAACAGGAUUAGAUACCCCGGUAGUC